rnacentral:rRNA from 1 species
UACGAAGGGGGCUAGCGUUGCUCGGAAUGACUGGGCGUAAAGGGCGCGUAGGCGGAUGGCACAGUCAGAUGUGAAAUUCCUGGGCUUAACCUGGGGGCUGCAUUUGAUACGUGUGAUCUAGAGUGAGGAAGAGGGUUGUGGAAUUCCCAGUGUAGAGGUGAAAUGCGCAGAUAUCAGGAAGAACACCCGUGGCUAAGGCGGCUCUCUAGUACGGUACUGACGCUGAGACGCGAAAGCGUGGGGAGCGAACAGG